rnacentral:rRNA from 1 species
AUUGAACGCUGGCGGCAUGCCUUACACAUGCAAGUCGAACGGUAACAGGUCUUCGGAUGCUGACGAGUGGCGAACGGGUGAGUAAUGCAUCGGAACGUGCCCAGUCGUGGGGGAUAACGCAGCGAAAGCUGUGCUAAUACCGCAUACGAGCUAUGGAUGAAAGCGGGGGACCGUAAGGCCUCGCGCGAUUGGAGCGGCCGAUGUCAGAUUAGGUAGUUGGUGGGGUAAAGGCUCACCAAGCCAACGAUCUGUAGCUGGUCUGAGAGGACGACCAGCCACACUGGGACUGAGACACGGCCCAGACUCCUACGGGAGGCAGCAGUGGGGAAUUUUGGACAAUGGGCGCAAGCCUGAUCCAGCAAUGCCGCGUGCAGGAAGAAGGCCUUCGGGUUGUAAACUGCUUUUGUACGGAACGAAAAGGUUUGGGUUAAUACCCUGGGCCGAUGACGGUACCGUAAGAAUAAGCACCGGCUAACUACGUGCCAGCCGCCGCCGUAAAAC